GGGCUUAAAAACAAAGUCAUGCUCAGCCUUUUGUAGGAGAGAUCCAGAUGUUAUGUAGAUUUUUUUGGUUUUUUUUUUUUUUGUGCAUGUUCAUUUGGGAGCGGAUCCGGCGGUGAGCGCUGUAUGUCCGUGUGUACGUUGCUGGACUUUGCCAUAUAUCGACGUCGCGUUUGUGGAAUGUAUGCUGGAGUAUUAGCUCGAGGAUCUCCUCCAAGAUUAAAGCUAGUCCUAAGAGCAACCGAAUUGCUGUGACUGACUUUCACGGGACUGUAAAGAGAGGGCUAUGUGUGUUUAAAGAGAUGCUGAAGAGAUUUCUGAGUUCACGGGGAAGAAGGAAAGGUUGGUUUGGGGAACGGCAGCGCGCCUGGCAGGUAUUUUAAUGACCGUCCCUUCCUUUGAACACUUUCAAUUUCUCUGCUUCUUUUCAUCCGGAAUGUCUUUCCCAGACCAAGUAUGAUUUCUGCUGUAAUUCUUGUGUGUGUUUGUGAUCCCUUCUGAGGUAAAUUGAGAAGUAAGCUGCGCAAAAGGAGGAAAUCGCCCCUGGGGUGCUUUGUUUACUUUGGUUUGUAAAAUCCUGCUAGGAGAUGGUUUCCUCAGUGUGUGGCAAGUGUUUCUUCAAGAAAUUCAUCAGCCCUUCUACAAUUACUUCGAGCUCCGAGGGAAGAGAGCUGCCAUCACUUUCUCACAUCCCAAGGUGUUGCAUGGAGGAGAGAAGAAAAGGCU